rnacentral:rRNA from 1 species
UACGAAGGGGGCUAGCGUUGCUCGGAAUUACUGGGCGUAAAGGGCGCGUAGGCGGUCCUGAUCGUCGGAUGUGAAAGGCCUGGGCUCAACCUGGGAACUGCAUCCGAUACGGCGGGACUGGAGUGUGGGAGAGGUUGGUGGAAUUCCCAGUGUAGAGGUGAAAUUCGUAGAUAUUGGGAAGAACACCGGUGGCGAAGGCGGCCAACUGGACCACAACUGACGCUGAGGCGCGAAAGCGUGGGGAGCAAACAGG